GAUGUAAGGAGGAGCUCCGGGGGUAGCAAGCAUGGUUAAGCAGAGGAGGAGUCAGCGGAGCAGUUAAUUCCAUCCCUGACAACAUGUCUGCAAAGGUUCCAUGAGCUUUGCAUAAGGCCAGGAGUUCACCUAGAUGACUUUGACAGAACUUUCUGGUUCCAAGAUUCUGCCUUCAUUCCUCGUCUGUAUUUCAAUUGGUGGCCCUUACAGUCUACUUUAAGAUGCAAAUGGUUUGCAAAAGUUAACUCAAUGGUGGUGUUAAAAAAAAUAGAUAACUAGAAGAGUUAUAGAAUAUAGUGACUACAAACACUGGGCUUCUGAAUCAGUCAGACAAGAGGAGUCCGGUCUCAACUGUGUGUUCAUUUUCUGACCUCAGUAGGACAUGUGGCUAAAACCUUCACUUCAACUAUGAAAUCUUCAGAAAUGGUAUUUAAAGCUGUGGUCUUCUCCAGUUUGCUGCUAAAUAUGUGAGGAAAUGGACGCUCAAAUGAUUAUGUGAAUUUUCAAGAUCAGACAACUAAUGUGAGUAACCAAGUGACCAUUUGGGGAAGACUCACAUGUGAGGAAACUGAAGGAGGCCUCUGGCUGGCAGCCAGCAAGAAAUGGAGGUCCUCAGUGCAACAAGCUGCUGGGAACUGAAUGUUGCUGAUGACUAUGUGAGCUUGGAAAAGGAAAUCCUUCCCCAGUCAAGCUCAGAUGAGACUGCAGCCCUAGCUAACACACUGAUUGCAGCUUUGUGGGAACCUGAAGUAGAGGACUCUGCUAAGGCAGCAUUCUUAACCCACAGAAACCAUAGAAUGUUGUUGUAAGGCACUAAUGGUUUUAUGUUGUUGUUUUAAGCCACUAAAAUUAUAGUUAUAUUGUUCUGCAGCAAUAGAUACCUAACAGAUACUGCAUAUGUAUAUGUUCCUGAUUUAAGAUUUUGAUCAACAGUUAUUUAUUAAGCACCUACCAUAUGCCAAGAUUCAUCCUAGGGUAAACAGAUGGUUACUGGCCUUGAAGAUGUUUAUUCUUUUGGAAAAGACCAGAUAUGUCUACCUCAAGGAACAAAGCACAAUACUCAUCCCACAAGAUUAUACCAGCAAACCAAUGAGACAGUGUAUAAGAAAACACUCAGUAGUUUGUCUGACACAUAAUAGCUAUUAAUGUAGUUAAAGUAUUUAAAGAACUUUUUUUUUUUGCUUGAAAUUAAUGUCUUUUAGGCAAAGGUCUAAGAGAGAGGAGGCUACCGACAGUUGGAGAAAUAUAAGAGGCCAGACUGGACUUUGACAGGAAAAAAAUAAUUGGUAGUGUGAUAGUAGGUAAAUCUGUCCAUUAUCCUUCAUGUGAACAGUCAGAGGAGGAAGGCAUGGAGUAACAAUAAUGGUGGGAAGCUAGUUUUUAUGUGGUGGGAAUAUAGUUUAUAUAAUCAAUUUUUCACUACUGGAAGGACUAGAUCCUGAGCCAGAAGCAAUCCCGUUAAUUAAAAGAACCUACUUCUCAAGUCAUUGCAAAGAGAAGAUUUUUUAUUAUCUUUAAAAAUUUGCCAAAAAGUAUUCAACAAAACUAGAAAAUAUUCAGUAAGGAAUUAUGUCAUCUGACCUAAAACACUAGAGUUAUGUAUUGUGUUUGAAAUUUCAGCUGUGACAUUCAUUGGUAGCUGCUACAAUAUACAUUUGUGCUUAGGAAAUCUAUUGCCGAUUCAUUACUUAUUAUUAGUUAUUCCCAAUUAUGCUUGAG
ensembl:lncRNA